AGAAAUGAGUCCUUUAUGCAGAAUUAUUCUGCUGUGUGCGUGCACGUGUAUUUUGCUAGCUGAUCUCAGUUGUUCUUUAUGAACUAAAUGAUGCUGUAAGACAGUGGAAAGAAAGAUAUACUGCUUUAAAAUGAUUGUUCUUUAACAAGUAGGACUCCUCUGAAAGCACAUCUUGGUUUAGUUAAUCUAUUUAAUUGAAAAGAAGUCAGUCAGAUUUGUCUGUAAAGGUUUAUCUCAAACUUCUUAAUUCCAGAAACACGUCAUUUGAGUGAUCAUUUGAUUGGAAGAGCUGAGGUUUAAGCAAAGACAUGAAUUAAACAGCAGAACUGGCAUUCAAUUCUAGAAGCUGGUAAAAAGUGUUUCUGUUUGCAGAGUAGAUGUCCGGAGUGCUGUGGAUUGGCUUGGAACAGUUGGGUCAGGAUCCGAAUGACAGGGAAGAUCCACCACACGUGCCAGGACAGUGAGAGCUCAAAGAAUCAGGCCAUGAUUAUCAGAGCUGAGUGAAAGUCAAGAGAGGAAGAGCCUCAAGGAUCGUUCAAAGAUUAUCAGAUCAAGAUCAUCACAUUGUACCAAACAGGCUCUCAGUCCCCUGUGUGGGUACACACACCACGCAUGUAUGGAUUUUAUUUUAUCCCGGGCUGCCACAUGCAUUUGCCAGCCUGGGAGAUGCCUCUCAGAGCACUCCUGAUCACCCCGUGAGCCUGAGCUGGUGCGGAGGAGGGAAGCGGGGAUUUAUGCAGCGUAUAUGGGAAACCCCCACAGGGCCCCUUUGCAGAACUCUGGCUUCCAGGCCGGCUGCCAAGCAUUAACUACAAUACUUGCGCUUGUUUUUGACAACAGCACGCAGGUUGUAUUUCACCCAUUGCUAUUUUGGUUUUGGAGUUAUGGCAGAAAUGUCUCUGGGUGCUGGCCUGGUAUAAGCGGAGUGGGAGAUUUACUCUUAUUGUGUAAUGUCACCUUUCAGUCGGUGCUUGCAGUGAAAAUUAUGGAGUGUCACUUGUUCUUUUUAUUAAAUUUCAAGGCUGUGCACCUCUCGUGUGGGAAGUGUAACUCUGUCCCGCUUCUGCUUCGAGUGGUAGCCUCAGCUGUUGGGCACCUUUUAAAACAUGAAUUCAUCUUUUUUUUUUUUUUUUCUUUUUCCUUUCUCUGCUUUUUAUCAAAAUGUUGAGACCAGCAGCAGCCGUUGCCAUGCUCCGAACUGCUGCCUGUGAUGAUGGAUGAGUUUGGCCCCAAAAGCACGGAGAGAUACUGGACUCAGCACAACACAGAUGUUGCAAUGCAGCCAAAUUAAGCUGUUGUGGGAAUGUGCAAGUUGGGCCUUAGUCAGAGUAUCUCAUGCCUGCCUGCCUCGCUGAAAAGCAAGAGCGAAAUAUUAGCAGCUGACCUGGUGGGAUAUACACUUGCCCAAAAUAUUCUGCU
ensembl:lncRNA